UACAGAGGUCCCAAGCGUUGUUCGGAUUCACUGGGCGUAAAGGGUGCGUAGGCGGCAAGGUAAGUCUGACGUGAAAUCUCCGAGCCUAACUCGGAAACUGCGUUGGAUACUAUCUUGCCCGAGGAGUGGAGGGGAGACUGGAAUACUUGGUGUAGCAGUGAAAUGCGUAGAUAUCAAGUGGAACACCAGUGGCGAAGGCGAGUCUCUGGACAUUUCCUGACGCUGAGGCACGAAAGCCAGGGGAGCAAACGGG
rnacentral:rRNA from 1 species